AUCGUUGGAUAGGCUUUGUUUUAAGACUGACUGACUAAUAUAUUGAUGAAUAUGCUAACCUAUAAACGUCUUGUUUCCGUUGGGUUUUUAGUCAGUUAUGAGCCAAGCAGAGGAGAGGCGUACCAGCAAGGACUUAAAUAAAGCUAGAAAUGGCAAUGCAUGUCAGAUUCUUGGUUCAGGACAUCACAAGUGCACAUUUCUAAUAGGCUAGACGAAAUUUCUCCCCAGGAAAAAAAAAAUCACCAGCUUUUACAAGCCAAGACGAUCUGCAUAUAGAGGAAAUGAAUAUUGAAGGAACACUUGAUUUUUCUGCCCAAUGUCUUGGUGUUAGAGACUGAGGAGGUAGGGAAGUUUUAGUUGUAGCUACUAUAUUAAUUCUACAAGUAAUUGAGAAGUACAUAAGUAUAUAUUUGUUUUUCUCUCUGUUUGGAUAUGAUGAUGGAGGUCAGUAAAAGAGAGGAAGCAGAAAUUGUUCUGGAUGCAGACGUAGAUGCUUUUGAGAAAGUAUCUUUAACAUGUUUUCUAGUUUCAUUUGUUCAUUACGAUGUUGGUAAGGUCAAAUGCAUGCAUUGUUCUUAACAAUGGCCGUUUAAGCUGGCAAUUUCAAAGAUAUUUCUCCUGAAUGGAGCUGUGACCAUACUUUCUUUGGCUGAUUUGUUUCUGUGCAAAUGUUUUACGUAUCUCAAUUGUCAUUUUGGCUUCCCAGGUCCUUUGAGUUUGAUAUUUUCAUUGAAACAAUGGUGAGAGAUGACAUGAGAAGAGGCAUCUCUCUCUGUCUUAAAGGAGACAGACUGCAGGUAUUAUUAGCUCAAAGGUUUAAAGUUUUGCAAGAAUAUGCAAUGAUGAGUUGACAUGUAAAGCAAUUUCUUGUUACAGAUUGUUAUAGUUGCAAUAAUCACAAUGAAGCAGACUCAGAUGGAUAUUGAUGUUCUUCAGGCAACUUACCACACGGGUGCCCUGUUCUUUUGUCUCUUGAAGCAACUAACUAUGUUUUGCACAUAAGCUGAAGUUGACACUAAGAGCAGAUCAGAAGUUGAAAUCGAUGUUGUUUUUGUUAAAUUCUAGUUAGCAUGUGAACACUAUGUGAUUUGAGGAACUUCCGUUGAGGAUCUAAAACUGUAGUUAUAAAACUUGAUUUACUUGACAUGUUGUUUGAAAACAAGAUUUUUGAGAUUAAUUGGUACUACAAGGAUCGUGAAGGAAAAUACAUUGUAUUGCU